AUGGACGCGCUGAAGUCGGCGGGUCGUGCCCUGCUGCGGAGCCCCAGCGUCCAUAAACCCUCCUGGGCCGGCGGCCGGCACAAGAAGCUCCCAGAGAACUGGACUGACACUCGCGAGACGCUGCUGGAGGGGAUGCUCUUCAGCCUCAAGUACAUGGGGAUGACACUGGUGGAGCAGCCCAAGGGAGAGGAGCUCUCUGCAGCUGCUGUCAAAAGGAUCGUGGCCACUGCGAAAGCAAGUGGAAAGAAGCUGCAGAAAGUGACUCUGAAAGUGUCUCCCCGGGGGAUCGUGUUGAACGACAGCAGCACGAACGAGCUGAUCGAGAACGUCUCCAUAUACAGGAUAUCCUACUGCACGGCAGACAAGAUCCACGAUAAAGUGUUUGCCUACAUUGCCCAGAACCAGCUCAAUGAGAACCUGGAGUGCCAUGCCUUCCUCUGUACCAAACGGAAAAUGGCACAGGCCGUCACCCUCACCGUGGCACAGGCCUUCAAAAUCGCCUUUGAGCUCUGGCAAGCAGCUAAGGAAGAGAAGGAAAAGCGGGAAAGGUCCAUCUUGGAAGGAGAAGGGACGAGCAGCCCCAGCUCAGAAGCCCCUGCCCACCCUGACACACCAGCAGCCACGGGGAACUUGCUGGAUUUUGAGGAUCCUGCCAAGUCACCCCUGAGCAGCAGCACAGACCCCCCACACUUGGAUAACAGCGUGUUUGGGCCCAGCUCCUCCGUAAACAACAACGUGGUGUGGGAAAUGGAUGAUGGUCUCGACGAGGCAUUUUCAAGGUUGGCUCAGUCGAGGACAAACCCUCAGGUCCUGGACACGGGGCUGACAGCUCAGGACAUCCAGAGUGCAGAGACGCUCUCCCCUGUAGACUGGAACAAGAUAGAUUCCACCACGGGCGAGAAGGAUGAUCUGUUCAUGUUUUGAGGUCAAGUGGAUCGAAGAGCUGGCUGGAGAAUAACCACUAAAAAAGUCUCUGGGCUGGAUCGUGCUGUUGCAGGUGCUGUACACAGGGGGCUCUUCUAAGGGCUCUUCGCCAGGUCAGGUGAUGUUACAGCACAAUUUAGACCAAAGCUAUAGAAACCUGAUGCAGAUUUUUUUUAUACCUUGCUUUUUAUCUGAACCACGAGAUGCUCUUGGCCAUAUUUAUUCCCGGCCGUUACCGUUUACAUGUGUUAUUGGAAGGCGUGGAGAGCAUCUACAGGAUUACGUGGCAAUAAUACCAUGGGAGAACCUUCAGCAGUGCCUGUUGCUCUCUGAAAACAGACUGUGCACCACCAAAGUCCCUCUGUGCUGAUCCUCUAGACAAAGGUCUGCAGAUGCAAAUGCAGUUCCAAGCACAAGUGUUACUAAUCCGCUGAUUCUUGAACAACACGUCACCUGCCUGGGCGAGGGGAGGGGAUUUGCAGCAGCUGCUGACAGUGUUAAAUCAGAGAGGUAGCAGAGAUCUUGCUUUUGUAUGAAUGUCUGUGACACUCUCACAGUUGUCGAUCACCCCUGCGGGUUCUGGCUGUUUCUUCACCAGCUCCAUGUGGGAAUUGACGCUUUUAUUUUUUUUAUUUUUUUUUUUUAACCCAAAGACUCUACGAAGUUUUGCACUUUAAAACUUGAACUGAAAGCGACGGUCCGAGUUGUCAAGCUAAGCAGUGCCUGUAUUUUCUCUUCAGAAGCUAUUUACCCAAAAAUAACCCAACCUGGCAAUGCUGCAGCUCUGUUUCAAAGCUGAUUCCUCACGUCCACCGUCUCUGAUGCGACUCGAAGAUCCUAAAGCUCCGUUGCGCUGUUGGCUUUGAAAGCAAAACCGCCAAGGAGGAAUGAUUUGUUCUGCUGAAGCGUGGUGGAAGUGGCAGCUUGGGUGGACCAGCAGCAGGAUAGAUCUGUGUUCUCACCCUGGCUGAGUGGAUUUGCCUGUCCAUGACUUCUCACUGCCUCAAAACCGUUUGGUUGUUGCUCACUCGAUCGACUCCAGUGGAAUUGGAUUAGGCAAGACCAAUACCUGGAUGUUCAGUUAGCAAGAGGUGCCCCUUCCAGGUACUUGGAUCCCCUUGCUCCCUGACAGCCACAGCUCCCAGGAGGCUCAGGAAGCUGCUUCAUCUGCUCCUGGAACUGAAAAUAAGUAAUGGAGGAAGUGAUUGGGAACAUCCUUGGGAGGUUGUGUCCACUGGACAGCUGAUUCCAGUGCCAUCCAGGUGGGAAGAGGAUUGCAGUCAGACAUUAGUCCAUGGUGCUGCUUCCAAGAAAUGCUUACAGGACUGGAUGUGGCCCCAUGGGAUGCACAGAGGGGUGUACAGUCUGUCCCUGCACUGGCCUUCAGGUAAGGGGAUGAUGAUGAGUGAGGAGAUGGAGGUCGGUGCUUCAGGCUCAUCUGCAGAAAAACGUGGUGCCAGUAGAGUCAAACCCCAAAACCUCUUUAAUUUAUAGAAUUUCUGGAGUCACAAAGUGCUUCUCCCUGUUGGUGAGGGGAGCUGAAUUUGUACAGCUGCCUCUUAAAUAAAAACAGCCCUGGAGAGCCCAGCACGGCCCCGUGUGCUCAGCAUCCCUUUGCAAUUCCUGCCUUUCCUGGGUUCCUUCACUUCCCAGCCCACCUCGCUGCCAACCUUGUCUGGGAAGCGCAUGGAGAGCCCCAUCUGGGGUGCUGACAGGUUUAACCUGCCUGUGCCACCCACUCCCUUUGGGGUCUUGGAGCAGGGGGGCUUUGCAAGAGAUGCCUCUCAUCCCACAGUGCUAACAAGAAAAAAAAAAAGACUGAAAGUUCAUUUUUCAGUUGAAAUUGCCUGUUCCAGGGUGAGCUGUCCCAGAUUAUGAGUGCUGAGUACUGGCAGCCUGCGCCUUCAUGCAUAGCUGAUGGCGAUGCUGAGGAACAAAUUGAUCUUUCGGUUCGGGUGUGACCUUUUUUUAACUGCCGGUUAAGGAACUUUUCAGCAUCCAUUUCCUUCCCCUCUGAUGGCUG